GAGGCAAACCGGGGGAACUGAAACAUCUAAGUACCCCGAGGAAGAGAAAUCAACCGAGAUUCCGAAAGUAGCGGCGAGCGAAAUUGGAUUAGCCCUUAAGCUUUUAAUGAUGCAGGUGAAGAGUCUGGAAAGUCUCGCAAUAAAGGGUGAUAGCCCCGUAACCGACACAUCAUAAUCAGUGAAAACGAGUAGGGCGGGACACGUGAUAUCCUGUCUGAAUAUGGGGGGACCAUCCUCCAAGGCUAAAUACUACUGACUGACCGAUAGUGAACCAGUACCGUGAGGGAAAGGCGAAAAGAACCCCUGUGAGGGGAGUGAAAUAGAACCUGAAACCGUGUACGUACAAGCAGUAGGAGCACCUUCGUGGUGUGACUGCGUACCUUUUGUAUAAUGGGUCAGCGACUUAAUUUUAGUAGCAAGGUUAACCGUUUAGGGGAGCCGUAGGGAAACCGAGUCUUAACUGGGCGUACAGUUGCUAGGAUUAGACCCGAAACCAGGUGAUCUAGCCAUGGGCAGGUUGAAGGUUGAGUAACAUCAACUGGAGGACCGAACCGACUAAUGUUGAAAAAUUAGCGGAUGACUUGUGGCUAGGGGUGAAAGGCCAAUCAAACCUGGAGAUAGCUGGUUUCUCCCCGAAAGCUAUUUAGGUAGCGCCUCGGACGAAUACUACUGGGGGUAGAGCACUGUUAAGGCUAGGGGGUCAUCCCGACUUACCAACCCUUUGCAAACUCCGAAUACCAGUAAGUACUAUCCGGGAGACACACGGCGGGUGCUAACGUCCGUCGUGGAGAGGGAAACAACCCAGACCGCCAGCUAAGGUCCCAAAGUAUAGCUAAGUGGGAAACGAUGUGGGAAGGCUCAGACAGCCAGGAUGUUGGCUUAGAAGCAGCCAUCAUUUAAAGAAAGCGUAAUAGCUCACUGGUCGAGUCGGCCUGCGCGGAAGAUGUAACGGGGCUAAGCUAUACACCGAAGCUGCGGCUACGUACCUUAGGGUAUGUGGGGUAGGGGAGCGUCUGUAAGCCGUUGAAGGUGGUCUGUAAGGGCUGCUGGAGGUAUCAGAAGUGCGAAUGCUGACAUGAGUAACGAUAAAGGGAGUGAAAAACUCCCUCGCCGGAAGACCAAGGGUUCCUGUCCAACGUUAAUCGGGGCAGGGUAAGUCGACUCCUAAGGCGAGGCCGAAAGGCGUAGUCGAUGGGAAACGGGUUAAUAUUCCCGUACUUCUUACAAUUGCGAUGGGGGGACGGAGAAGGCUAGGUGGGCCUGGCGACGGUUGUCCAGGUUCAAGUACGUAGGCGG
rnacentral:rRNA from 1 species